GACGAACGCUGGCGGCGUGCUUAACACAUGCAAGUCGAACGAUGAAGCCGGAGCUUGCUCUGGUGGAUUAGUGGCGAACGGGUGAGUAACACGUGAGUAACCUGCCCUUGACUCUGGGAUAAGCGUUGGAAACGACGUCUAAUACCGGAUACGAGCUGGGAUCGCAUGAUCACCAGCUGGAAAGAACUUCGGUCAAGGAUGGACUCGCGGCCUAUCAGGUAGUUGGUGAGGUAACGGCUCACCAAGCCGACGACGGGUAGCCGGCCUGAGAGGGUGACCGGCCACGCCGGGACUGAGACACGGCCCAGACUCCUACGGGAGGCAGCAGUGGGGAAUAUUGCACAAUGGGCGCAAGCCUGAUGCAGCAACGCCGCGUGA
rnacentral:rRNA from 1 species